rnacentral:rRNA from 1 species
UACGGAGGGUGCGAGCGUUGUCCGGAAUCACUGGGCGUAAAGGGCGCGUAGGCGGCUCAUGAAGGCUGUGGUGAAAGUCCGGGGCUCAACCUCGGAUCGGCCGUGGCGACUCGUGGGCUGGAGCACUGUAGAGGCGGGUGGAAUUCCGGGUGUAGCGGUGGAAUGCGUAGAUAUGCGGAGGAACACCGAUGGCGAAGGCAGGUCUCUGGGCAUUAACUGACGCUGAGGAGCGAAAGCAUGGGGAGCGAACAGG